rnacentral:lncRNA from 1 species
CUUUUGAGGAGAUACAGUAGUUCUUUGAUCUUUUAAGGAGAAACAGUAGUUCACAGCUUGAGAAGCCAACAUUUCCUUUGGAAAAACCUCAAACUACAACAAUAAAAUGCCUAAGAAGAAUGCACACAGACAGGGUCGGCGCCGUUUUGACAAACCAAAGAAAGAUUCAUUUGAGCCAGUGAUAGCUCCCACUGAAGACAUGGACUGGACAAAGCUUUUUUCCCUUCUCGAUCCACAACCUUCAUCCAGUCUUCAUAGAUCUUCCCAACACCAGGAACCUGUUAAAGAAACAGUAGCAGACAACAAGGCUCACAACCCAGAGUCUGUUACAGAGAGUCUGUGCUUGGCUAAUGAGGACAAAAACCUUCACACUUCACUCCUUGGCUCUCAGCAGAUGGAAAUGUCCACCCUUCAACAUUCUCUGGUCCAAAAAGACCCUUCUGUGCUUGACCAACUGAGGGAGGAAAAUGACAACCUUAAACUGUCUUUGAUCCAGUCCCAACAAGCCUUAGAGACCCAACAGAACCAGUGGGACAAAGACAAGGCCAGAUUAUUAGACACACAGAAGGAGAACGAGACCAUCUUUGAGCAGAAACGAGAGAUGAUUGACCACCUCAAACAGACACUGGAGAAAUCAUCAGAAGACUUUAAGGUGCUGAAGGAGCAGUGGGCGACAGAAAAAGAUGCUCAACAACAGCAAACCAAUCUGAUGAUUCAACAUAAAGAAGAGGAAAUCUCCCGCCUCAGCGCUUUAUGGGAAACAGCUGAGCGUACGGUCUCCAUCCAAGCCCUGGAACUGGAAGAUAAAGCUCAUCUGGAGGCUCAACAUGUAUCUAUGAUUUCCACCUUGAAGGCCUCUCUCACAACUGAACAAGAAAAGCUUGAAGAAACAAAAGAGAAAUGCAAGCAACUGAAGGACUUCCAAAAACAGGACAAGGAGCUGAUCCACCUUCUUCAGACAGAGCUGAAGAAGAAGGGACGAGAAUUUCUAGAACAACACGUUCAGGCCAUGAAAGAGCAGGAGAACCUUCAUUUUCAAAUCAUGCUGCUGAGGGA